UACAGAGGUCCCAAGCGUUGUUCGGAUUCAUUGGGCUUAAAGGGUGCGUAGGCGGCUCAGAAAGUAGGGUGUGAAAGCCCUCGGCUCAACCGAGGAAUUGCGCCCUAAACUACUGGGCUUGAGGAAGACAGAGGUAAGCGGAACUUACGGUGGAGCGGUGAAAUGCGUUGAUAUCGUAAGGAACACCAGGAGCGAAAGCGGCUUACUGGGUCUUAUCUGACGCUGAGGCACGAAAGCUAGGGGAGCGAACGGG
rnacentral:rRNA from 1 species